AGAGUUUGAUCCUGGCUCAGGACGAACGCUGGCGGCGUGCCUAAUACAUGCAAGUCGAGCGGACAGAUGGGAGCUUGCUCCCUGAUGUUAGCGGCGGACGGGUGAGUAACACGUGGGUAACCUGCCUGUAAGACUGGGAUAACUCCGGGAAACCGGGGCUAAUACCGGAUGGUUGUUUGAACCGCAUGGUUCAAACAUAAAAGGUGGCUUCGGCUACCACUUGCAGAUGGACCCGCGGCGCAUUAGCUAGUUGGUGAGGUAAUGGCUCACCAAGGCAACGAUGCGUAGCCGACCUGAGAGGGUGAUCGGCCACACUGGGACUGAGACACGGCCCAGACUCCUACGGGAGGCAGCAGUAGGGAAUCUUCCGCAAUGGACGAAAGUCUGACGGAGCAACGCCGCGUGAGUGAUGAAGGUUUUCGGAUCGUAAAGCUCUGUUGUUAGGGAAGAACAAGUGCCGUUCGAAUAGGGCGGUACCUUGACGGUACCUAACCAGAAAGCCACGGCUAACUACGUGCCAGCAGCCGCGGUAAUACGUAGGUGGCAAGCGUUGUCCGGAAUUAUUGGGCGUAAAGGGCUCGCAGGCGGUUUCUUAAGUCUGAUGUGAAAGCCCCCGGCUCAACCGGGGAGGGUCAUUGGAAACUGGGGAACUUGAGUGCAGAAGAGGAGAGUGGAAUUCCACGUGUAGCGGUGAAAUGCGUAGAGAUGAGGAGGAACACCAGUGGCGAAGGCGACUCUCUGGUCUGUAACUGACGCUGAGGAGCGAAAGCGUGGGGAGCGAACAGGAUUAGAUACCCUGGUAGUCCACGCCAUAAACGAUGAGUGCUAAGUGUUAGGGGGUUUCCGCCCCUUAGUGCUGCAGCUAACGCAUUAAGCACUCCGCCUGGGGAGUACGGUCGCAAGACUGAAACUCAAAGGAAUUGACGGGGGCCCACACAAGCGGUGGAGCAUGUGGUUUAAUUCGAAGCAACGCGAAGAACCUUACCAGGUCUUGACAUCCUCUGACAAUCCUAGAGAUAGGACGUCCCCUUCGGGGGCAGAGUGACAGGUGGUGCAUGGUUGUCGUCAGCUCGUGUCGUGAGAUGUUGGGUUAAGUCCCGCAACGAGCGCAACCCUUGAUCUUAGUUGCCAGCAUUCAGUUGGGCACUCUAAGGUGACUGCCGGUGACAAACCGGAGGAAGGUGGGGAUGACGUCAAAUCAUCAUGCCCCUUAUGACCUGGGCUACACACGUGCUACAAUGGACAGAACAAAGGGCAGCGAAACCGCGAGGUUAAGCCAAUCCCACAAAUCUGUUCUCAGUUCGGAUCGCAGUCUGCAACUCGACUGCGUGAAGCUGGAAUCGCUAGUAAUCGCGGAUCAGCAUGCCGCGGUGAAUACAUUCCCGGGCCUUGUACACACCGCCCGUCACACCACGAGAGUUUGUAACACCCGAAGUCGGUGAGGUAACCUUUUAGGAGCCAGCCGCCGAAGGUGGGACAGAUGAUUGGGGUGAAGUCGUAACAAGGUAGCCGUAUCGGAAGGUGCGGCUG
rnacentral:rRNA from 1 species